GCAGGCAGAGCAAAAACACUGAGCCGGAAGGCGGGAGGGCAGGAGCCCAGGUGUCUAAUCUCCAUGCAGCUCUGCUUGCCAUCUGAUCUCUGGUUGGCUGAGUUGGGCGGCCAGCACCUUGCUUCCUGUCGUGAUGUAAGCCCCAUGGAGAUGAGAAAACAAGAGGCCUAGAGAAGUUAAGUGGUUUACUGAAAAUCAAUAGCUGGCAAAUGUGACUCACAGCUACUGAGGGUAGAAGUGCAAGCCCCUCCGCACAGCCGGCUCCAUGGGCUGAUGGGUCUGGAAACAUCUAGAGAUAAACAACCGUAGAGGCAGGGAAGAGCAGAGGGCACACCACAGCCCAGGAGAGGGCUGGGGUGCUCACGCCCGUGGAAGGAUAACACAAGAGCUAAGGAAAGCGUUUGCUGCUGGGAAGUCUGGAAGGUUCUGACCUGCUCUCAAGCUGGACGAGCCACUAACCCGCACUCAGCUGGGCUUUCUUCAUCCGCACGGUGUAUGUCAUGCCUUGUCUGCUUCCCCAAAAGGGAGCAUCCCUUGGACCAGGACCACCCAAGACAGGCAGGCUAGUUUGGAAGAGGCAGCAGCACCUUUGAGACCUGUCACCACUGCCCUCCCCUUGGACCAGCUGGAAGCGCUCAGAAACAGCAACACCUCCACACCCACUCCUGGAAGCCUCCCACCCCAGCCGGCCGGCUCUGGGAAAGGAAGCACCGUGACUCACAAACGUGGGGUUGGAGAAACGUGGCUGCCUCGGGAAUGUUGUGACAAGAUUUCCCAAUCUCUCCUCCUUUGCUGCCAAAUCGCUCCAGAAACAAUGGGCCCUCCCCACUCUCAUGCUCUCUAUCUCAUUCUUCAUUCUCUCUCUCAAAUAAAUAAAUAAAAUCUUAAAAAAAAAAAAAGAAAGAAACAAUGGGCCCAAGAGCCA